rnacentral:rRNA from 1 species
CUUCCGUAGGGGUAACCUGCGGAAGGAUCAUUACCGAGUGAGGGCCUCUCUGGGUCCAA